rnacentral:rRNA from 1 species
AGAAUCAACGCUGGCGGCGUGCCUAACACAUGCAAGUCGAACGAGAAAGUGGAGCAAUCCAUGAGUAAAGUGGCGCACGGGUGAGUAACACGUGACUAACCUACCCUUGAGUGGGGAAUAACCUAGGGAAACCUGGGCUAAUACCGCAUAACACCUACGGGUCAAAGGAGCAAUUCGCUUAAGGAGGGGGUCGCGGCAGAUUAGCUAGUUGGCGGGGUAAUGGCCCACCAAGGCAGUGAUCUGUAUCCGGCCUGAGAGGGCGCACGGACACACUGGAACUGAAACACGGUCCAGACUCCUACGGGAGGCAGCAGUGGGAAUUUUGCGCAAUGGGGGAAACCCUGGACGCAGCAACGCCGCGUGGAGGAUGAAGUCCCUUGGGACGUAAACUCCUUUCGACCGGGAAGAUUAUGACGGUACCGGAAGAAGAAGCCCGGCUAACUUCGCGCCAGCAGCCGC